GGCUCCGUAGUACAAUGGAUAGUGCGUGGGUUUCCGGUACCCAAAAUCUAGGUUCGAUUCCUAGCGGAGCUA
rnacentral:tRNA from 1 species